UACGAAGGAUCCAAGCGUUAUCCGGAUUUAUUGGGUUUAAAGGGUGCGUAGGCGGCUUAUUAAGUCAGAGGUGAAAGCCUGGAGCUUAACUCCAGAACUGCCUUUGAUACUGGUGAGCUUGAAUAUAGUUGAGGUGGGCGGAAUGUGUCAUGUAGCGGUGAAAUGCUUAGAUAUGACACAGAACACCAAUUGCGAAGGCAGCUCGCUAAACUAUUAUUGACGCUGAGGCACUAAAGCGUGGGGAUCAAACAGG
rnacentral:rRNA from 1 species